rnacentral:rRNA from 1 species
GAUGAACGCUGGCGGCGUGCCUAAUACAUGCAAGUCGAGCGAACAGAUAAGGAGCUUGCUCCUUUGACGUUAGCGGCGGACGGGUGAGUUACACGUGGAUAACCUACCUAUAAGACUGGGACAACUUCGGGAAACCGGAGCUAAUACCGGAUAACAUAUUGAACCGCAUGGUUCAAUAGUGAAAGGCGGCUUUGCUGUCACUUAUAGAUGGAUCCGCGCCGUAUUAGCUAGUUGGUAAGGUAACGGCUUACCAAGGCAACGAUACGUAGCCGACCUGAGAGGGUGAUCGGCCACACUGGAACUGAGACACGGUCCAGACUCCUACGGGAGGCAGCAGUAGGGAAUCUUCCGCAAUGGGCGAAAGCCUGACGGAGCAACGCCGCGUGAGUGAUGAAGGUCUUCGGAUCGUAAAACUCUGUUAUCAGGGAAGAACAAAUGUGUAAGUAACUGUGCACAUCUUGACGGUACCUGAUCAGAAAGCCACGGCUAACUACGUG